AUCUUAUGAAAUUGCUAGUAUUUAGACAGCCUUUAGAGGGCGUCAGAGACUAAACUGAUGGGUAAUGUAAAAAAGUCGGCCUAGAACUGUUCUUAUUAAACAUCCCUGGCUACAGUGAGACCGUAUUAAAAGGAAUGGUAAGUUUAUGUGUAAAUGUGUUUAAAGUUAGGGGUGCAAAUCUGAGGUUUUAGCUCAUGCUUUUUUAUUUUUUAGUUGCUUUGUUCUACAUGACCCCUUCUUCUGUUUUGGCAUUAUGUAGAGUGAGUAAAGUGUGUGUGGUGGCUUUAUAUUAAAGAUCUCUGUCUGGAAAUGCCUGUGUUAACGUUGACUUGAGAAACCUGAUCUCUACUUAGGUUUGAGAUUAGCAAUUAAAAAUGUAUAAUUUCCUGUU